rnacentral:lncRNA from 1 species
AUAUGAAAAGUGGGUCGAAAGUAGUUCUUUGUGGAAAUAGUUCAUACUUUCUCCUCACUUGGCUGAUUUAGUUAGAUAUAGCAUGGUGUGAAAUCAAUGAACUAUAUCAUAUGACCUCUUUGCUUCUCUCUGAAAUACAGCAGGCUAUCUGUAUCUUUGUAUUACCUAAGUCAAUUGGCUAAUUUAUUGGGAAGGGAAAUGGUGAUGAAGAAAGAGGAGGUAUAGGACAAAAAGGAGAAAGAAAAGGAGGAAGGAAGAGAGAUUUUUGAGCCCAUAUAAAACUUGGAGUCCUCUGUGAAGUUUUAAAAAUCUUGAUGCCCUGGGACUACUCCAGAUCAAUUAUAUUAGAAUUUCUUAGGGUGGAACUCAGGAAGCUGUGCAGUCAAGUUUGAGAACAAAUAACAUAGAGUAGAUAACCCACUCCUUAAGUUUCCAAAUUUCAGUAAGUUCUAAGUAGUGUAUCAGGAUCAACUAAAAUACCAGGAUUGCUAUUUGUUCUCUUACCACCACUUAGUGUCUGUAUGAACUCAGUCAAUUCACUCUCCAAGCCUGGAAGCUUGAGACAGUACCAUGUUUCCCUUGGGAGGCUUUGAGUAUUAAAUGGGUUAAUGUACAAUGAAUAUAUAGCACUUUAUCCAGAAUUGAAGAGUUUUGUAACCUGGGAAAACUGAGGAAAUGUUCACCCAAAUAAAUAUUUUUGUAUGCUGUAGAUCAAAUGGUAAAUCCAGGUUAAUAAAUAGUAUUGUUAAAAAUGAUUUUUCCAGGCUUUUGAAAUCAGAUGGUCCUAGAUUUAAGCUGAACUACCCAUUUUCUAGCUUUGUGUUCUUGGAGAAUUAUUUAAUCUUUCUGAGUUUUAGUUAUCACAUCUAUAAAUUGGAGAUAAUAUGUCUAUUGGAAUUGUUAUAAUAAAAUAAGAGCAUAACAUAGUGUAUGACAUAUAAGAAGAGCUCAGGACAUGUUAGAUAUGAUUAUUUCAUAAUUGUUAUUUUUGGUAUACUUUUAGAAUUUCUUUGGCUACUGCAAUUAUUGUUACAGUACUGAAAGAAGAUGUGGCAAAAGUAAGGGUCUAAAAAAUAGAAGACAGUACACAAGUUGACCUUUUAUCUAUAUUUUUUGACACUCAACAUUUUUAUUUUCCUAUAAUUUUAGUAAGCAAAAACUGUUUAAAAUACACAAUAAACUGUUUAGACCAAAAUAAAUAUCUAGCACCAUUGUAGUAGUGGGAAUACACAUAAUUUAAGAGGUUAUCUAUCCCAUAGUAACAGUAGGAAAAUAAACUUGGAAUAGAGAAUUUGUAGAACUGACACAGAAAGACAGGAAAUAAAUGUUCCUAGUAGAUAUAGAUAUGCAUAGUUGCUUUUAAUUUUUCAUUAUUUACUGAGACGUUUCUUUUUCUGAUAGUUUACAAGAAUCUACAGCUUCUUCUCUUCCAUUAUAUCUCGAUAUAAUUGUUUUUAACAUCAAAUUAAAAUUAUGGAAGCUAAUUAUAAAAUUAGAGAAGCUCUUAAUAGCAUAAGGAACAGUUAAUUUCUCCUUGUAUAUAUAUUUUUGUUGUUUAUUAAGAGUAACUUAAAAAUUUUUUGCCUUUAGAAAUAAUAGAUUUGCUGAAUUUGGCAAAUAUUCAUUGCAUAAUGCAUUCUACAUUUGCAAAUCAAAUAUGAUAACAUCUCAGUCAUUUUCAGAAACUUAAUUGCAUCUUGAUUUGUCACAAAAUUGAGAAAAUGUUCCCUAUUAUCGUUCUAGAAGGUAAGAGUUACAUCACUCUGCAAAGUUCCUAAAUUAUUAACUGAUGAGGUGAAUAAAUUUGUUAAUAGGUCAGGCUUGAGGUCUCAGUCGUGGUGACUAGUGGACUAAGACUCUGAAAAAGGUUCCAAGGCCCCAGAUUUUCUGAAUAAAACCAAUCCAAGGCUUGUGAGUUUCAUGCUCAGCAAUUUUUUCCUGUAACCCCUCUAUUUACUCUUGUUUUGUUCAUUAUUUUACCUUUUUUUAUUUUGACAUAUUGAAGAGGUGAAACAACAGUACAAAGAAUUCCUAAUAAUCAUUAUCCAAAUCCCCCAAAUGUUUACACUGUCACAAUUGCUUUUCCUUCUUUCUCUUCCCUCUCUUUUCCUUUCUCUUUUUAAAGAGUGACCACACAGAGAUGAAUAGUAAAAUAACUGAAAUGAAAAUUAUUAUGGAAGGAAUAAAUAGUAGACUAAAUGAUUGAGAAGUAAGGAUCAGUGAGCUGGAAUGCAGAGUAGUGGAAUUUUACUGCCACUGAACAGAAAAAAAAAAUAAGAAAAAAGAACUAAAAGAUAUGAGGACAGUUUAAAAGACCUCUGGAACAACAUCAAGCACACCAAUGUUCACAUUAUAGGGAUCUCAGAAGAGAAGAGACAGAGAAAAGGCCUGAGAAAAUAUUUGAAAAAAUAGUAGAUGAAAACCUCUAUAACCUGGAAAAGGCAAUAGUCAUACAAGUCCAGAAAAUGCAGAGACCCGUAUAGUAUUAACCCAAAGAGGAACACACCAAGACACACUGUAAUCAAAAUGACAAAUGUGAGAAUCUAAAAGCAACAAAUAACAUACAAGGGAACUCUCUUAAGACCAUCAGCUGAUUUUUCAUCAGAAAUUCUGCAGGACAGAAAGGAGCAGCAGGAUAUAUUUAAAGUGAUGAAAGAGGAAAACCUACAACCAAGAACACUCUACCCAACAAGGCUCUCAUACAGAUUUAAUGGAGAAAUCAAAAGCUUUACAGAUAAGCAAAAGCUAAAGUAAUUCAGCAUCACCAAACCAGCCUUAAAACAUAUUUUAAAGUAAGUUCUCUAGGCGAAAAAGAAAAGAGCACAGAUAGGAACAAAGUUAUGGAAUGAAAAAGCUCACUGGUAAAGGCAAACUUACAGUAAUGGUAAGAAAUUAUCCACACAAAGCUAGUAGGGAGGUGAAAAAACAAAAGUAGUAAAGUUAUCUGUAUCUGCAAUAGCUGUUAAGAGAUACAUAAAAUUAUUAUAUGUAAAAUAAAAUAUCAAAAACACUGAUCAUAAGAAAAGGAGAGUACAAAUGCAGGGAAAUUAAAAUGCAUUUGAUGAGUUCCCACUGUGGCACAGUGGAAUCAGUGGCAUCUUGUGAGUGCUGGGACAGGUUCAGUCCCAGGCCCAGCACAGUGGGUUAAACAUCCAGCAUUUCUGAAGCUGUGGCUUAGGUAGAAAAUAUGGCUGAGAUCUGAUCCUGGGCCCAAGAACUCCAUAUGCCAUUGGGUGGCCAAAAACAAAACAGAACAAAACAAAAAAAUUUUAAACUAAGAUAUCAGCAAUGCAUGUGUAUAACAAUAAUCACGUAUGUGUAUAGACUGCUAUAUAAAAAAUUCAAGGUAACUGCAAACCCAGUCUAUAAUAGAUAUAAACACAAAAGAGAAAAAGGAAUUAAAAUAUAACAUUAAAUAGUCAUU